rnacentral:rRNA from 1 species
UACAGAGGUGGCAAGCGUUGUUCGGAAUUACUGGGCGUAAAGGGCGCGUAGGCGGCCAUCUAAGUCAGACGUGAAAUCCCCCGGCUUAACCUGGGAACUGCGUCUGAUACUGGAAGGCUCGAGUUUGGGAGAGGGAUGCAGAAUUCCAGGUGUAGCGGUGAAAUGCGUAGAUAUCUGGAGGAAUACCGGUGGCGAAGGCGGCAUCCUGGACCAACACUGACGCUGAGGCGCGAAAGCUAGGGGAGCAAACGGG